rnacentral:rRNA from 1 species
UACGGAAGGCAGCAGUGGGGAAUAUUGCACAAUGGGCGCAAGCCUGAUGCAGCCAUGCCGCGUGUAUGAAGAAGGCCUUCGGGUUGUAAAGUACUUUCAGUCGUGAGGAAGGUGUUAAGGUUAAUAACCUUAGCAAUUGACGUUAGCGACAGAAGAAGCACCGGCUAACUCCGUGCCAGCAGCCGCGGUAAUACGGAGGGUGCGAGCGUUAAUCGGAAUUACUGGGCGUAAAGGGCACGCAGGCGGUUAAUUAAGUUGGAUGUGAAAUCCCCGGGCUUAACCUGGGAAUGGCACUCAAGACUGGUUAGCUAGAGUCUUGUAGAGGGGGUAGAAUUCCAUGUGUAGCGGUGAAAUGCGUAGAGAUGUGGAGGAAUACCGGUGGCGAAGGCGGCCCCUGGACAAAGACUGACGCUCAUGUGCGAAAGCGUGGGGAGCAAACAGGGAUUAGAUACC